rnacentral:rRNA from 1 species
AUUGAACGCUGGCGGCAUGCCUUACACAUGCAAGUCGAACGGCAGCACGGGAGCAAUCCUGGUGGCGAGUGGCGAACGGGUGAGUAAUAUAUCGGAACGUGCCCAGUCGUGGGGGAUAACGUAGCGAAAGCUACGCUAAUACCGCAUACGAUCUAUGGAUGAAAGCGGGGGAUCGCAAGACCUCGCGCGAUUGGAGCGGCCGAUAUCAGAUUAGGUAGUUGGUGAGGUAAAGGCUCACCAAGCCGACGAUCUGUAGCUGGUCUGAGAGGACGACCAGCCACACUGGGACUGAGACACGGCCCAGACUCCUACGGGAGGCAGCAGUGGGGAAUUUUGGACAAUGGGCGCAAGCCUGAUCCAGCAAUGCCGCGUGCAGGAUGAAGGCCUUCGGGUUGUAAACUGCUUCUGUACGGAACGAAACGGUGAGCUCUAAUACAGUUUGCUAAUGACGGUACCGUAAGAAUAAGCACCGGCUAACUACGUG